GACGAACGCUGUCGGCGUGCCUAAUACAUGCAAGUAGAACGCAGUUGGGAAAGGGUGAGAAACGCGUAGUUAACUGCCGCAGAGUGGGGGAUAACCAUUGGUAACGAUAGCUAAUACCGCAUACUGUGAGAUGGACCUGAGUUGUAUUAGUUAGUUGGUGAGGUAAAGGCUCACCAAGGCGACGGUACAUAGCCGACCUGAGAGGGUUAUCGGCCACACGGGGACUGUGACAAGGCCCAGACUCUCACGGGAGGCAGCAGUAGGUAGUCUUCGGCAAUGUACGGAAGUCUGACCGCGCACAUCCGCGUGAUUGAAGAAGGUUUUCGGAUCGGAAAGCUCUGUUGUUAGAGAAGCGGUACCUAACCAGAAAGGGACGGCUAACUACGUGCCAGCAGCCGCGGUAAUAC
rnacentral:rRNA from 1 species